rnacentral:rRNA from 1 species
UACGGAGGGUGCGAGCGUUGUCCGGAAUCACUGGGCGUAAAGGGCGCGUAGGCGGCCUGAUAAGUAGGGGGUGAAAUCCUGCGGCUUAACCGCAGGGCUGCCUCCUAAACUGUCAGGCUUGAGCACAGUAGAGGCAGGUGGAAUUCCCGGUGUAGCGGUGGAAUGCGUAGAGAUCGGGAAGAACAUCAGUGGCGAAGGCGGCCUGCUGGGCUGUUGCUGACGCUGAGGCGCGACAGCGUGGGGAGCAAACAGG